GCCAAACAAACUCUGCCAGCUCCAGACAAGGCAAACUUUUCUCCCCAUGUUGGUGGUGCAAGAGAGCUGUGGAACAUCUCCAGAACAUUCACCUUGGAGCUCCCAGCAUCCAAGAAGCUCACUGUUUAGACUGCAGACUCAUUAAGACCGUGGCCUGCCCUCUUAUUGCGACCCUGGAAAAGGAAGCAGUGUGCAUGCAUUAAUCCCUCCAGAAAGAUACAUUGACAAAGCCAUCGUGACAACAAGGACCAAGUUCGGCCAUAUCUCCGUUUACAACAUCACAGUCCCACAUGGGCUUCCUGGCUACUCCUGGAUUCAGCAUGAACUCCCUGCACUCAGCUUCCACAUGCCAUGUCAUUGCCCACAACGAUGCUCUUACUUCCUGAGGGAUCCCUCCCUUUGGCUUUCCUUCCGAGAUUGAGCACAAGAGGCGGAAGAAGAAGGGACACCAUGAAGCCGGUUGGAUGUCAUCUCCCACUGUAUUUCUGAACAGCAAUAACCAAAAAGGCGAUGGGCAAGAUCUUCAUCAACAAGUCUCGGAUUUGCUGAAGCCUUCCUUGCAGCCUCUCCUAGCAGUUCUUUGUAAUUUGUCGUCCCCACCAAAGGGAAACCUGUUCACACAUCUGGACUGAAAUCCAGCCAAAAUCCAGAGGUUGCUUUUCCCACUUCUGGUGCAGUGGUGUGGCCUGCAAAGGCAUUUCUGAGCACAGCAAGCA